UUUAUGGAGAGUUUGAUCCUGGCUCAGGAUGAACGCUGGCGGCGUGCCUAAUACAUGCAAGUCGAGCGAACAGAUAAGGAGCUUGCUCCUUUGACGUUAGCGGCGGACGGGUGAGUAACACGUGGGUAACCUACCUAUAAGAGUACACACCUUCCGGGGGCUAAUGCCGGAUAACAUGUUGAACCGCAUGGUUCUACAGUGAAAGACGGUCUUGCUGUCACUUAUAGAUGGACCCGCGCCGUAUUAGCUAGUUGGUGGGGUAACGGCCUACCAAGGCGACGAUACGUAGCCGACCUGAGAGGGUGAUCGGCCACACUGGAACUGAGACACGGUCCAGACUCCUACGGGGUGUAGGGAAUCUUCCGCAAUGGGCGAAAGCCUGACGGAGCAACGCCGCGUGAGUGAUGAAGGUCUUCGGAUCGUAAAGCUCUGUUGUUAGGGAAGAACAAAUGUGUAAGUAACUGUGCACAUCUUGACAGAUCGGAAGAGCACACGUCUGAGUUCAGACCUGUACUCCGUAGGUGGCAAGCGUUAUCCGGAAUUAUUGGGCGUAAAGCGCGCGUAGGCGGUUUUUUAAGUCUGAUGUGAAAGCCCACGGCUCAACCGUGGAGGGUCAUUGGAAACUGGAAAACUUGAGUGCAGAAGAGGAAAGUGGAAUUCCAUGUGUAGCGGUGAAAUGCGCAGAGAUAUGGAGGAACACCAGUGGCGAAGGCGGCUUUCUGGUCUGCAACUGACGCUGAUGUGCGAAAGCGUGGGGAUCAAACAGGAUUAGAUACCCUGGUAGUCCACGCCGUAAACGAUGAGUGCUAAGUGUUAGGGGGUUUCCGCCCCUUAGUGCUGCAGCUAACGCAUUAAGCACUCCGCCUGGGGAGUACGGUCGCAAGACUGAAACUCAAAGGAAUUGACGGGGACCCGCACAAGCGGUGGAGCAUGUGGUUUAAUUCGAAGCAACGCGAAGAACCUUACCAAAUCUUGACAUCCUUUGACCGCUCUAGAGAUAGAGUUUUCCUCUUCGGAGGACAAAGUGACAGGUGGUGCAUGGUUGUCGUCAGCUCGUGUCGUGAGAUGUUGGGUUAAGAGAUCGGAAGAGCGUCGUCCUUGAACAGUUGCCAUCAUUCAGUUGGGCACUCUAAGUUGACUGCCGGUGAAAAACCGGAGGAAGGUGGGGAUGACGUCAAAUCAUCAUCCCCUUAUGAUUUGGGCUACACACGUGCUACAAUGGACAAUACAAAGGGCAGCGAAACCGCGAGGUCAAGCAAAUCCCAUAAAGUUGUUCUCAGUUCGGAUUGUAGUCUGCAACUCGACUACAUGAAGCUGGAAUCGCUAGUAAUCGUAGAUCAGCAUGCUACGGUGAAUACGUUCCCGGGUCUUGUACACACCGCCCGUCACACCACGAGAGUUUGUAACACCCGAAGCCGGUGGAGUAACCAUUUUGGAGCUAGCCGUCGAAGGUGGGACAAAUGAUUGGGGUGAAGUCGUAACAAGGUAGCCGUAUCGGAAGGUGCGGCUGGAUCACCUCCUUUCU
rnacentral:rRNA from 1 species